CUUCCGUACCUCAUUAGGAGCUUGUACGCAGCGCAGGAGGUGAUCCAUUAUCACACCCAGAGCUUCAAGGAUACAACAAGAACAGGAGGAAACAUGGCCGCCAUUCUCCAGGAAGCUCCCUUCCCCAAGAACAACAACCAGUUUUCUACUGGAGCUUCCCUAUGACCCCACUGAGCUACUACUCAGUUUGAAGCAAGUGUACAACAUGGACAAAAAGUACUGUGGUUGCGUGUGGAUCUGUGGCCAGAAAGUUACUGUAGACAGAAAAGCUGAUGAGACAUAAAAAAAAAAAAUACGUUUGGCAAUCUGGCCCCACUACAAUCCCUGGUCUCUACCUACAUCUUAAGUAUCUGGGUGGUUUGUGAGAUGCUGCCAUUCCUACAGGAAGCAGGUGAAAUGAGUGCUGGAUGUAAAUCUACACAGAUUUCUCUCCUAAAAACUGUUUAUUUGGGUGAGUAAAGCGCUUCCCUUUAUUUACAGUAAGAUUAGAUUACCAAAUUUCUCCAGCACUAAGGCUGGAACAUUAGCAUAAUACUCCUUUCUGAACAGGGAACUAACAAACGCGGUUAGCAGGUAAUGCUAAUGCUGCUCCAGCAAUGCUAGCUGGAAUUUGCAGCAGGCUACAGGCCGAUAAUACUCAACUCUGAACAGGAAAAUAUUGAGCGCGGUUAGCAGCUAAUAGUAAUACUGCUGGAGAACUAAACUAAUGCUUCUUAAUACCUGACUGAUAAAACACAUACAUAAGGAGCACUGGAUUAAAAGGCACACAGAUGAGUUUUGGGAAAAUUAAAGGAUUUUAAGCGUGCCUUAUAGUGCAAAAAUACGUACAUAUUAGGUAAAGAAAAAACAGCCUAUUUAGACAAUAAUUUAAAAAUGAUUAAUCAGAAAUUAUCAGCAGGCAUCAAUCAGAUCAAUUUAAAAGAUCAAUUAAGACACAAACCUUUGAU